GAAGAAAAUUUUGCCACGAUUUUGUUCAAAGUAAAUAAGAUAGGUUUCGACUGUUUUCUCUUCGAGAGUUCCGUAGAGAAGAGAAAGGUUCUGCGAUAAAGGUCACUUCCCUCGUCGAGAAUUCUUGGAAGAGUGGAGGAUUGAAUUGUGGAACGAGAAUUCUUAUUAUAGAUACCACAGAGGUUUUUGAGCCAAAAAAAAAAAAGAUGGAUAAAAUCCUGUACCUUGUUGGAGUUUUCAAAUUGUUAGGAGUAUUGCUCCGCGGGGAACUCGUUUCAUGUCGGCGUAUUCRUGCCGGUUAGACGUCGGCCAUGAAAUCCAUCACUAUACCGAGCAGAUCACGGGCAUUCACAUCUCGGUCAAACGGAACUGUGCGCGAUUCUCUCGUGAAUCGCCUUCAGCAAGGUAUGGCAUUCAGGGUCUAAACGUGGUAUUUGAGGAAGAAAAUUUUAUAUUUGAAGACUUUAAUAUUGCCUUGUUUGGUGUUUUGGGUUUUUGUCUUAACUUGUGGUAUGUCUUCUUUCCCCUAUGUUCUCUCAUUGGUUUGUGUUAGAAAAGUCCUGGUGGUCCAAUAUCACUACUCUAAAUCUUAGUUUAGCCUCUUGUUUGCUCCGGUGAACAAAUCUUCUAUGUGCUAUUAGUUAUUUCAUUCUAGCCAUAUUUUUUCUCAUGCAGUUCUGCUCAGCUUUUUUUUUUUUGUAAUCAGAUAUACUGUGUUCGUUAAGCGAGUUGUAGUUUGCUGUUUCUGUUGCCUCCAAGAGGAAAGAAUGGGUUAUAGUUCUUCUUGCUAGAAUUCAUAUUCAGCUUUCUAGCAGAUUCUGGAUAGACCAAAUUGGUGGAACUUCAGAUCUAUACCUACAAGAACAGGGGUUCUUUUCUUGGGCUGGUAAGCAGCAAGUGUUUGUUGAGAUGUAUCGUUGAUUACAGCAAGUAAGAUGCAUAAUGGCUGUUUGAUGUUAGUAUGGUUAUGGAACCCUCAAUUGCAGCAUUUCCUUAUUGGUGGAUCCUUGGCAAUGCAUGUUGCAGUAAGCAGCAAUAUUCAUUAUGCCAUGUACAUGUUUGAUGAAAUACCUAAGGGAGUACAUAUUUUAGUAAGGGGGAGUCUUUUGUCUUGUCUAGAGGCAGUUUGUUUUAAGUUGCAUUUGUUUCAUCAUUCAGUUAUUCAUUUAUUUUUUAUUGGUGUCCUCAUUCAGUUAUUUGAUAUUUUAAAAGUCUUCAAUGGUGUAAUAUCUUUUUCUCAUACAUAAGUUUUUGUUGAGUUGGUAGUAUACCAUUGUGAUUGGGGAAUGUGUAGAGAGGUAGACCUGAUGAUUGGUUGUCUUAGGGUAAGAAUUGUUGCCCUCCAUAAGUACCAUGUUGGUUUUGUCUUGGCUAAGAUCCAUUUGUCUCCAUGAGUACUACCUAAUCAGUUGAAAAUUUGUGUUGACGUAAGUAAUAGCUGAAAGCAUUGUGUGUACAGUCCAAGAAAAUUGGAUCCUUGUUAGUGUAGGAGUGCUAGUAUACCACCGUAUUCAAGUUACCUUGUUUGAGAGAAGCUCUACAGAUUAAUUAUUCAUGUUGCUACCAAGAUUACAUCAUUUCUUUCCUGGAAAGCUAGCUAGUGCUAGCUUGAGAAGCAUUGGAGUAAUUAGACUAUAAUGAGUAGGAGGAAUGAGAUACCUUAACAAGAAAAUAAUAUUCAAUGACUUCAACUGUAAUAUCAACCCAUUGUGCUCUAGUUUACAAUUUGGACAAUCUAGUGUUAAUAUAAAGCAUCUCUCUUAGAGAGAGGCUUUUUUUUGAUAAAUGAUAGAAAUUUAUCAAAAAAAAAAAAACUCUCUUAGAGAGAGGUAGAGGCAUGUGGUAUUGUAAUUUGUAAGUUUUAUUGUUUAUUCUAUCUCACCUUAUGCACAACAGGCUAUCUAUAACUUCAUUCUCCAUUUUGAUUAAAUGAAUCACAAAAGGACUACUCUCCAAGCUUUAUGGGAUUAAGACAAGGGGACCUGCUAUCCCCUUUUUCCAAAAUAGUAGCAAAGGGUUGGUGAAAUGUACUGCAGGCUUCACAAAGAUCGGAGGCAAUCUACUUCCUCCAAGGGAAGCAUUCACUUAGUAGUGGCCCUUGUCAAGAUCCUAAUGCAAGACUAGCUCAUGGAGAGAAAUAUCAAAUUAACAAACAAAUGUGUGUUACGUGAAGAAUCAGAGGAGGAUGCAGACCAUUUAGAUGCAGACCAUCUAAAUAUUGAUAUUACCCUCUGCCUCUUAAUGUCUUUAUAAUGUAUUCCCAUAAUUUAAUCUGUAGUAUCAUAUGUUUUGUUAUCAGCAUGUUCAUUGCCAUUUCUGUGGGUUUUUUCUAGACAUGUUUUCUUGUGGUCUGCAUGUUUUUGCCAAAAGUUAGGAUCACUUAUUAUUGAAGGAUUUUAGUCAUUUAAAGAGGCAAUUUCAGAUAUGGUUAUUCAUUUUUUUUUUUACAUUUUUUGUUCUGUAUUUGUAGUAAUCAAUUGUGCUUCUUUGACUUUAUAGGGCUUAAUUUAGUUUUAAGUGUAUGUUAGUAGAAACUUAGAUGUUCUUUCAACUGGCUUAGUCCUUUUUAGAAAUCCAGUUUGAUGAGUUAUCUUUAUCUUUAUUAAUUAAACCAAGAUUUCUCAUGCUAAGAUGUUCUUUCAAAUGACAUUGAUUCAUCAUGCAUCUGUGGGGUCAAGCUCUGAUUCAGCUCUGAGUUAACAAGAAAGUGAGAAACCCCCUCAGCAACUUUCUUUCAUACCCAACUCUAUGGCUGGCGCCUGGCAGCAUAUAUGAUAGUACAUUUGACAGAAGAGGUCAAAAGGAAACUAUGGGAAAUUAAUGCUCUUGAGAGGUCAACUUCCAAGAGGAGAACUGCCAAGAGGAGAAUUGCCGUGUUGUAGCUGAACUAGGAAGUGAUUUCCUUGGAGCAUAUGUGAUUUCCAUGGCCUCUAAUGUAUGUGUUAACUAUUGGUGUUCAAUUUUUGGUUUUGUGGCUGGGAGAAAACUAAUAGCUACAUGUAACAAGGAUUUCUUCAAUAAGUCGUUAAGUUCAGCCAGUUCAUCUCUGCCCAGUUUUUAUUUUUUAUAAUUUAUUAAUGAAUCUGUUAUUUUUUA